UGUGUCUCUUGUCGACUCCUCUCGCGUGGCGGCACAGAGAAAGAGAGAGUAAGAGAGAGUAAGAGAGAGAGAGAGAGAGAGAGAGAGAGUAUGUGAGUUGCAAGUUUAUCGUAUUGGAGUUGGAUCAACGGGAAUAAGAGCCUGCCGGACUUGAGCCACGCCGCAGCCUAAGAAAUCCCCCGUACUUCGACCAGACGGCGUUAGCAUGAAAACCCUUUUCAUUCCCGAGCCAAAGUAGAAAAGAAGGAGAAUGUUACACCGUCAGUGACUUUCAUCGGAUCCAGGGCGAUGUGAUUACGCUCAGCGUCAAUAUAUAUAAAAAAAAGAGGGAAAAAAGAAGAAUAAGAAAAAAAAAAUGUAAAGCAAAAUCUAAUUCACUGCCAUGAAAGACAAAGUUUUUUGAGCUUUGACUUUGAACUGGUUGUAAAAGGUCACUCGUUCUCGGGCGGGGAGGAACUAGUGGGUCGCUCUCUAUCCUUGCCUGCGCUGAAUCCACACCACUGCGUCACCAUCAGGGACUCACCAUCCCCGAGUCACCAUCCGACUCAACUUCCCUGACUCACCAUUCCUGAGUCACCAUCCGACUCAACAGCGACUCAACUUCCCUGACUCACCAUUUCUGAGUCACCACCACCGACUCAACUUCCCUGACUCACCAUCACGGACUCAGGAUCGCGGUCUCACCAUCCGCGACUCGCACAAUGGAAGGCUGGGGCAGAAUGUACAUCUUUAUUUGUUCACUUUUAACCUACUGGAUCAUUCCCGGAGCUUCACUGCACAUUGCCUCUGGGCGAGAUGUCCCCACGCCCGCAGACGAGGACACGCCCACGAACCUCUCUACGGGCGUGGAGAGCG